AGAGGUGGCGGAGUGGUCGAACGUGGCGGUCUCGAAAACCGUUGAGGGUGCAAGCCUUCCCAGGGUUCGAAUCCCUGUCUCUCCGCCAAUAAU
rnacentral:tRNA from 1 species